rnacentral:siRNA from 1 species
UCGCUAACUUCGGAUUUGAAUGCC